rnacentral:rRNA from 1 species
UAACUACGUGCCAGCAGCCGCGGUAAUACGUAGGUGGCGAGCGUUAUCCGGAAUGAUUGGGCGUAAAGGGUGCGUAGGUGGCAGAACAAGUCUGGAGUAAAAGGUAUGGGCUCAACCCGUACUGGCUCUGGAAACUGUUCAGCUAGAGAACAGAAGAGGACGGCGGAACUCCAUGUGUAGCGGUAAAAUGCGUAGAUAUAUGGAAGAACACCGGUGGCGAAGGCGGCCGUCUGGUCUGUUGCUGACACUGAAGCACGAAAGCGUGGGGAGCAAAUAGGAUUAGAUACCCUAGUAGUCCACGCCGUAAACGAUGAGAACUAGGUGUUGGGGGAAUAACUCAGUGCCGCAGUUAACGCAAUAAGUUCUCCGCCUGGGGAGUAUGCACGCAAGUGUGAAACUCAAAGGAAUUGACGGGGGCCCGCACAAGCGGUGGAGUAUGUGGUUUAAUUCGAAGCAACGCGAAGAACCUUACCAGGCCUUGACAUCCCUUGCAGAGGUAUAGAGAUAUAUCCGAGGUUAUCAAGGAGACAGGUGGUGCAUGGUUGUCGUCAGCUCGUGUCGUGAGAUGUUGGGUUAAGUCCCGCAACGAGCGCAACCCUUGUGAUAUGUUACUAACAUUGAGUUGAGGACUCAUAUCAGACUGCCGGUGAUAAACCGGAGGAAGGUGGGGAUGACGUCAAAUCAUCAUGCCCCUUAUGGCCUGGGCUACACACGUACUACAAUGGCUGUUACAACGUGCAGCGACCUAGCGAUAGGAAGCGAAUCACUAAAAGACAGUCUCAGUUCGGAUUGAAGUCUGCAACUCGACUUCAUGAAGCUGGAAUCGCUAGUAAUCGCGGAUCAGAAUGCCGCGGUGAAUACGUUCUCGGGCCUUGUACACACCGCCCGUCAUACCAUGAGAGCUGGUAAUACCCGAAGCCGGUGGCCUAACCGCAAGGAAGGAGCCGUCGAAGGUAGGACUAGUGAUUGGGGUCAAGUCGUAACAAGGUAUCCCUACGAGAACGUGGGGAUG